AUUAACUUGUAUUGCUGUGGCUCUUUUGGAAGCAUCACUGACCUAUGCACAAAGCAGCACUUCUUGAAGAAAUGCGUCCUCAUGUUUGCUUCUGGGCUUCCCUUGGUUAUUUCUCUUGGUGCCCCGUGCAAAAGAGCCAUCAGGAGAGCAAGGACGGAUGAGUUGGUGAUUCAUCUGAAGGCAGCAGCAACACACUUGGAAAGCAGAAUGUACUUGCUAAAUUGGGAAAAAAAAAAACACAUGAAAAAUAGAGCUAAAGAAGGCGGGCUGAGAUGCAUGUCAGCAUUCACCUGGCAAGAGCUAAGUGCUCUGAAAUCACCUCAUAGCCUGCUUUUUCUUUUGUUUUCCUCUCAUGGCAGUUAUGCCUACUGUUGCAUUGGCUGUUGUGGCAAAACAGUGACCUGUGACUCUUGGGUAGUGCCAUUUCUUCCUUUCUCAGAGAGCUUAAACUGGGCUUGAAAUGGGGUCUCCUAAUGCCUGCACGAACAUUGGCUUGGUGUGUGGCUGCAGUUGGAUCCAAGAACCUUGAAGAACUUUUUAUCCAAUGAUUUAAAUAGAGGCAAUGAACCUUCCUGGGAAGGGCAGACACCACCGGCUGCUCCUGCUUUUCUUGGGUGUCGUGUACCUGCAAAAAAAACAGCUUUGGUCCUUUUGGCAGAGAUGCUCCAGAAAAAAAGAGAUCUUGAAAUCCUCCAUGCACCUAUUGGCAACAUCAACAGGAACAGAAUUGCUUCAAAGCCCUUCGCAGCAUUGCUCAUUUGAUUGUACAGAUCGGUGCUAUACAGACAGACCAACUGAUGCACCAGUAAACACCCAUUUCCCUUCAUCACCUCCAGGCAAAAGGAAAUAGGCCUUUCAGUAACAAUAAAUCCCACUUCUCCACUAAAGAGGACUGGAUGUUCCCUGAAGAGUUGGAGACAAGGAGAUUCCUGAUGAAUGAUGGAGAGUGAGCAGCCAAAUGUGUUCAUAUCCAUCGGGACUGAGAAUCAGAGACAGAGUCUGGAAUUGGUCCUGGGGUGUAUCAAGAUAUUUUGAAUCUUUUAGCAUAUAUUCCCUAUUCCUUCCCAAACAAGAGUACAAAAUGCUGAUGCUCUACGCAAUUCAAAGUGUCUUCUUUGUAAUCAGCAUUUUAGUAAUCUCACUACAUGAUCAGAAUUGUGUGAUUUCAGGCACCAAGCUGCUUGUCAAUGAAGUUUAUGUGCAGAAAGGUGCGUCUUGAUGGAACGCAAUGCAAAGUACUUUGCACCAGUUUCACGUGCAGGUGAAUUUUCACAAGUUAUAUCAGUCAGAUCUGCUAAAAAGUUUGUUUACAAAACUCUAAUAUGUGCGAUUUAAUAUGUGGAAAUUCAAGUAUGCAAAGUUGAACCCCUUUGGGGCUUACAAAUUCCUUAUAAACAGGCAUUCACCUCAAUAUAUAUUUAACUACCUACUAUUUUUAAUAUAACAGUAAUGUACACAUCCUGUCUGCAAUAUAUAGAUCCAAAUCCCUUUUUCUUUUCCCCCUUUUUUUGGUUUACAUGUGCAACAGAAGGAAGAAACUUCUUUGU